UGCCCCAUGGCUGAGUUGGUUACAGCGUCCGACUGUUACUUAUACUUAAACGAGUUGCGGUCAAUCGGAAGGUCGUGAGUUCGAGCCUCACUGGGGCAG